rnacentral:sRNA from 1 species
AUGUUUAUAUUUUAAAUUUUAUACUACAAGUGAAAUUCUAGAAUUGACUGGUUUGGGUUGAUAAUAAUUUGCGAUAGAACUAGGAGUGAAAUCCUAGAAUGACAAUCAAAAUAUAAUUAUAUAAU